GAGAAAUGGCAUUCCCCCGGGGCAGGAUGGAGGCAGCAGAGUGGCGGCGCCUGCUUCACCUCCUCAAGGACGCGCGGGUCAGGGUGACGAGGGAGUAUGGAAGUUUUUUGAUACCAGAGAAAACCAUCACUGAGGAGGAGGAGUGGAGAGAGCUGGAGGACGUCACUAUCAAUUUGUGGGGGUGUAAGGUGUACAGGGAAUCUGACGAGGUGUGUUUCUUGUCAGCCUCAAUUUUUGACUUUCGAGUCUGAUGAAGAAGAUGAAGAUGAGGAGGAGGAGGACUUAAAAAAUUUAACCUGCUCCACAGCCUGCUGCAUCACCACCACAGCCACCUCCACCACAGCCUGCUACACCACCAUCACAGCCACCACAACACAGUCACUCCACCACAGCCUGCCAAAAGUAGUGGAGACAAAGCGGCGCCCUUUGAGAGUGGUGCCCCCAGUGCUGUGCUGCAUCAAGUGUU